UUUUGUUUUGUUUUUUUUGAGACAAGUCUCUCUCUAUGUAAUCCCUAGCUGUCCUAGAACUCACUAUAUAGACCAGGCUGCCUAGUACUCAUAGAGACCUGCCUGCCUCUGCUGUCCUAAUCCUGGAAUUAAAGGUGCAUGAACCAUCACAUCUGGCCUGCAAAACAUUUUAAAGGCGUCAUCACAGACUCCUCACAACUCUCAUUUCACUGUACUAUGAAGCAGGGGAGACAGACUCAGACAGCUGCCCUUUAAGACUCAUCGAGACCUGACAGCUCAUAGGAAUGUGUUUGUGUGUUUGCUCACACUGUAAACCCUGAGAUCCCCCUGCAGGAAUGCAGAUGCACCUUCUGUACUCAUCGUUAAUCCCAAACAAUGAAGGUAGAGUUAGUUUAUAGAAGGAAGCACCCGUGUUUGAAAGUGAUGUCUAAUCGUGGUAGACAAAGUGUCAAAUCAGAGAAAGAUCUGACAGAAUAGGAUAGGCCCAACUCUCAGGAGAAGAGAGAGGAAAGGGAAGCUACUUAAGGGGCAGUGCAGACAGAAGAAGGAAGGAGGCACCUUUACCAGGAGAGUUUUACAAAGACAAAGAGAGAACAAGCUGAACAGGUGAACACAGAACAAGCCAGAGAAUUAGAACAGAUUGCUAGCCUUAGUUUGAGCCAAGCAGAGUGAUUCAACCGAAGAGCUAGUCGGAAGCCAGUUUGGGUCAGUCAGCUUGGAGAGGAGUCUGAGCCAGAGCAGCUGAGGUGAAUCAGCCAAUCAGAGAGCAGAAAGAAGUAGAAAGGGUGAGCGUAUUGAGCAGCAAGUCUCAGAGGCUGAAAACAUUCUAGGCCUGGAUUAGAUUGUACGGCGACUAGAAGUUUCCAGGACUAGGACUGGGUUAGCAGACAGAGGCAGUGAGCCUCAGAGACAAUUACAUCAGGCGAAUAAAAGAUGCUUUCACAGGCUUUUGUUUUUGAGACAGGGUUUCUCUAUGUAGCUCUGGCUGUCCUAGAACUCUCUGUAUAGACAAGACUGUCCUAAAACUCACAGAGGUUCACCUGCCUCUGCCCCGAUUGCUG